CUGUUCCUUCCUGUUCCUGCCGCUGAAUCCUUCGGGCAAUAUCAAGAUAUUCAACGAUUUAAAACUGAUGGUCUUGAAAUAUUCAUGUUAUGACCAGGUUGAAUUAAAAAUAUAAAUAGGAACGAAAACUUUUGCAUAACAUUUUACUCGGAGAUUGGCUGGAUUUAUUUGAGCGUGUACUUUUUGUUUAUGAUUAGUGGAAUGAAAAAAUGAAACUGAUGUUGUGGUGCAGGAAGUGUCCCUUCAUUAUACGGAUUCUGGGAGUGGGCAAGCGGCGGAUCAUAGGCUGCUGUGUCGUGAAGGAAGUUUAUGGUAAAACCACGUAAGACUGAAUAUCGUUCGGCAGCUAUUAUUGGCCUAUCUUACCAAUUAGAUACAAUAAUAACUGAUACAGGUUCACACAUAACCUGAUGUGUUAGAGAAAACGACUAACUUCGAUUCACCCACUCAAGAAAAAACAAGUCGUAUGUAAGUCCUAUAGGAGACAUCAAGCUCUCUUUCCUGGUGGCUGAAAUUACACCGUGCUCAGCGAGUAUAGCGAGGUGCAUGAUCGGCGCAUUUGAUUUUAACGUCAAUGCAUCAGUGACUAAGUAAAAGCAAAGCGCCAAACAACAAUACUAACACAUUAAAUUUUGGAUUGAAUGAAAACUAAUUUGAAAUCGAACAAAAACUGGAUCAAAACAAAAUUUAAAUUGAAUUCAAAUGAAAUUCAAAUAUAAUUAAAGUAAAUUGGAAUUAAAUUCAAAUUAAAAUUAUUGUUGAAUCACAUUGAAUUGAAAUUAAAGUAAAAUUAAGCCUAUACUAAAAUAAAAUUAAAUUGAAUGAAUCGACUGCUUUGAGCGUGCUUACAGCGGCACACUAGGAGUUAACUUUCUGAAAUCAGUAUGGCGAAAGGCAUCUAAGGUUCGAUUUCUCCAAAUUAAGCACUUUAAUGGAAAAAAUAUUUGGUAGGCGUAGUAGCGGACACCAUCCCUCAUAACCGGUACCAAACAGUUUUACAUGAAAAGUUCCUAAUUUUGAGAAAACCAGCGUUAGAUGUCUUUCGCCAUACAAAUUUCUGGCGGUUAACUCUUGCUGGCUAUUUUGUGCAUAUACUAUAGCGCCUGGAUGUGGCUGCGGCGGGUAGAAAAUCAGCCACUGCCAAUAAUUCAUUGAAAUAAAUUGUAGGACAUAAAGUUGUAUUGUAUUUUUAUUGUAAUAUUAGAGUAAAAUGUAUUCUAAAUUUUAUUAUAUUUCUACUGUAAAACAAUAAAAAAAGUGA